rnacentral:misc_RNA from 1 species
GAAAUGCGAUAAGUAAUGUGAAUUGCAGAAUUCAGUGAAUCAUCGAAUCUUUGAACGCACAUUGCGCCCCCCAGUAUUCUGGCGGGCAUGCCUGUUCGAGCGUCAUUUCAACCAUCAAGCCCUGCUUGUGUUGGGGUCCUGCGGCUGCCCGCAGGCCCUGAAAACCAGUGGCGGGCUCGCUAGUCACACCGAGCGCAGUAGCACAUCUCGCUCAGGGCGUGCGGCGGGCUCCAGCCGUUAAAGCACCCACCUUUCGCAAGGUUGACCUCGGAUCAGGUAGGAAUACCCGCUGAACUUAA